UACGAAGGGGGCUAGCGUUGUUCGGAAUUACUGGGCGUAAAGCGCACGUAGGCGGAUACUUAAGUUAGGGGUGAAAUCCCGGGGCUCAACCCCGGAACUGCCUUUAAUACUGGGUAUCUCGAGUUCGAGAGAGGUGAGUGGAAUUCCGAGUGUAGAGGUGAAAUUCGUAGAUAUUCGGAAGAACACCAGUGGCGAAGGCAGCUCACUGGCUCAUACUGGACGCUGAGGUGCGAAAGCGUGGGGAGCAAACAGG
rnacentral:rRNA from 1 species